rnacentral:lncRNA from 1 species
GGUCUUUUACUAGGUAUACUUGGGAUUCCUUAUUAUCUUAUCAUUGUCUCCCCUUUUAGGAACCUUGUACUCAAGGUUCAUAUUGUAGAAUCUUCAUGCAGCUCUACCAAUCCCUUUAUUUUUUGGGUUAUCCCUUUAUCCAGGCUUCACAGGCCUAAUAUCUUCUUCUUCUUUGUUGUCGCUUUCUAGAAGCAAAAGUUAAGUUCAGCGGCAUCUGUGUCCAUUUGUAAACUUCUCAUUGCAGUUGAAGCAAAGUCGGUGCGCUUGUUGUCUCUGUAUUUUGUCCUACGAGUGUUGCUUAUUGGCGACAAAAGGAGUCGAGACGUUUUAUGACGUUGGAGCUGCUAAUGCUUGAGAUGGUUGGGUGGUUGCAACUUGCCUGAACUGGUUAGAUCGGCGUCAUUGAUUCAAUUGAUUUUAUCCCAUGCGGGUCAGGCUAAUCACUUCUUUUAAGGAUUUAGGUUGGAACAUCUUGAUCUCAUUUGCUAUUUUGAGCUUAUGCCCACUGCUAAAAGUCCCCACCAAAGCCUUUUACAUUUAUCCUCCUAGUCACUAUAACUCUUUUUAGUAUUCACGUAAUGGACUAGUCUGAUUUACUUUGGACAAGGCUUCAUCAAAGUCUUCACUCUCAGUUGGCCCAAACUUGCCCCAAACUUGGCCCAAAACUCCUCUUCAAAUACAAUCCAAAUAAUUUCUUUAUCUUUUUCCGUGCAGAACCGGUGAAGCUAUUGCCACCACUUAUUGGCUUCGCCUUACAAGUGGUACAAUGCCAAUAAUACCUUUUGAUCCACAUCGAUGCUCUAGUGCUCGAAGAACUACUUUAUGCAGUUAAUCCACUUCGUUGAGUCAUCGCCAAUGUAAGAAGAAAAAUUGAGUUUGGCGAGUUUGAAGUAAAAAGGUUAACAGCCUUCGUCUGUGCGUCUGUUGCCAUCUUCGUGAUUCAUGCGCAACUGGCUGAGGCGAGCGGUCUAGUUACUGUUGGAGCCUUUACAGUUGGAAAUGACUGUGUCUGUUAGCUACUUGAAAGAAUCCUCAAUCAUAUGAUGUUUGUCGGCUAUUCCAGUUUCUUACAAACUAAAGUUGUCCUGUAAAGUUCCGAGACUCAUUUUUAGAUUCUUAAUGUGUUCUUUGUUGGAGGCCAUUUGGAUCUAGUUCUGAUACCAAUUGAUAGGUCCUGAUAAGAUGUUGGUAAGUAUGUAAGAAAUUUUUUUUUUGGGCGAGAAACACUACAGAUUAAUUUAUAAAAUUUUACUUCAUU